AGAGUGACUUUGAGGAUUCCUACACCAGAUAAUGAGAGUGACACUGAGGUUCCAUAUGCUGACAUAAUGAUCACUGUCCGAGGUGUCAGUACACCAGAACUCACUCAGAUCGGCUACUUGACUCCCGGAGAUCAAAAAGAGUGGUGGGGAGAUGAAUCGAGAUCUCACCUGCAGGCCUCACGGUCAGCUGACUGGCUGCAUGUCCCCCAGCCCAGAGAGGUCAGCCGCAAGAUGAGCACCAACUCGG